AACAUUAUGAAUUUAUUUCAGCAAUAACAACAAGUGUUAUAUGUAUUUAUCACUAAAUAGAGUGCGGUAUUCAUAUUUAUUUAUUUAUUCCUUCUUUACCCAUAUCCAAUCCCCAAACCUAAACAUCUUCACGUAAACCAUCUACUCACUGCAGCGAAUACACUCAUUCCGACUCAAUGGAAACACAGCACAGCCCCAACGAUUAGGGAAUGGUUUCAGAAAACAGAGCACAUAAGAGUGAUGGAAGAACUUCAUUACUCGUUCACUAACAAAUACACCCUAUAUGCAUGAAUAUGGGAACCAUGGCUGAAGUUCAUGCAGAAUAAACCCAGAAGUUAGAACUUAGAAUGGGCCUAAGAGGCAUAGGGUAUGACCAUAUUUUCAAUGCACAACUUUCAAUUGAAUCCCUUGAGUUACAGUUGGAUCGAACAAUCAAACCAUACAAUGGGGCUCCUACGCUCACCGCUUGAUGCUAUUUUAUACUCAUGGUAACUAUUACGAGCCUCAACGUACGUGAUAUACAAUACAAAUAACCAUGCAUCCAUAAUAAAGAUUCUUAUCACUCGACAGUCACACUCUCACCAACAUGGUGCUAAAUCUAACACACAAGAAGACACCAGGCCACCUGAGGGGUUUAAACACUAUAUUCAAAUCGGAGGCACCAAUAUGAGCACUCCAUGUAAUUCAUCCAUACAUGGGUAUAUGACCUACUGUCCGCCUCUACAGGUACAAUGCAUGUAACUAAGUGUUAAUGGUGACGAUUGUACGAAAAAUGUGCACCUUCCUAAUGUCGACAAUGGUACUGAUGUUAUUGGUUUAUAUGAAUACUGUGAAUAACUUCCUUUAUGUGAACUGUCAUGUAACCGUCUGGAUGAACAAUAAUAAUUUACAAAAAAAUUAAAAAACAAAUAAAAC